rnacentral:ncRNA from 1 species
GGAGUCCCGCCUGAGCAGCUCCGAGCCCGAGGCUCAGUAGCGAUUGUUGCAGCGUGCCUGGUAACAGUCACGUUGAAGCGUACACAGAAAGGUAGCGAGGUUGAAAGGUAUCGACUGACUGUCGAACCCUGAACGGUAUUGAGCCCUGAAAUUUGGUUAUUGUCGGAUCCUACCCAAGGUAUGUUCACACUGGACGCCAAUACUGACUAUCGCGUUUUGGCAAGCGAUAUUCAGACACCCGGGGUCGAAGGCCC